UGCAGUCGAGCGCACUCUUCGGAGUGAGCGGCGGACGGGUUAGUAACGCGUGGGAACGUGCCCUUUUCUAAGGAAUAGCCACUGGAAACGGUGAGUAAUACCUUAUACGCCCUUCGGGGGAAAGAUUUAUCGGAGAAGGAUCGGCCCGCGUUAGAUUAGGUAGUUGGUGGGGUAACGGCCUACCAAGCCGACGAUCUAUAGCUGGUUUGAGAGGAUGAUCAGCAACACUGGGACUGAGACACGGCCCAGACUUCUACGGAAGGCAGCAGUGGGGAAUCUUGGACAAUGGGCGCAAGCCUGAUCCAGCCAUGCCGCGUGAGUGAUGAAGGCCUUAGGGUCGUAAAGCUCUUUCGCCAGGGAUGAUAAUGACAGUACCUGGUAAAGAAACCCCGGCUAACUCCGUGCCAGCAGCCGCGGUAAUACGGAGGGGGUUAGCGUUGUUCGGAAUUACUGGGCGUAAAGCGCGCGUAGGCGGACUAAUUAGUCAGAGGUGAAAUCCCAGGGCUCAACCCUGGAACUGCCUUUGAUACUGUUAGUCUAGAGUUCGAGAGAGGUGAGUGGAAUUCCGAGUGUAGAGGUGAAAUUCGUAGAUAUUCGGAGGAACACCAGUGGCGAAGGCGGCUCACUGGCUCGAUACUGACGCUGAGGUGCGAAAGUGUGGGGAGCAAACAGGAUUAGAUACCCUAGUAGUCCACACCGUAAACGAUGAAUGCCAGUCGUCGGGUAGUAUACUAUUCGGUGACACACCUAACGGAUUAAGCAUUCCGCCUGGGGAGUACGGUCGCAAGANUAAAACUCAAAGGAAUUGACGGGGGCCCGCACAAGCGGUGGANCAUGUGGUUUAAUUCGAAGCAACGCGCANAANCUUACCAACCCUUGACAUCCUGUGCCACUCCCAGA
rnacentral:rRNA from 1 species